rnacentral:rRNA from 1 species
UACGUAGGUGGCAAGCGUUGUUCGGAAUUAUUGGGCGUAAAGGGCGCGUAGGCGGUUUGUUAAGUCGGUCGUGAAAACCCGAGGCUCAACCUCGGGCCUGCAGUGGGUACGGGCAGACUAGAGUGCGGUAGGGGAGAUUGGAAUUCCUGGUGUAGCGGUGGAAUGCGCAGAUAUCAGGAGGAACACCAAUGGCGAAGGCAGAUCUCUGGGCCGUAACUGACGCUGAGGAGCGAAAGCAUGGGGAGCGAACAGGG